AUUGAACGCUGGCGGCAUGCCUUACACAUGCAAGUCGAACGGUAACAGGUCUUCGGAUGCUGACGAGCGGCGAACGGGUGAGUAAUACAUCGGAACGUGCCUAGUAGUGGGGGAUAACUACUCGAAAGAGUGGCUAAUACCGCAUGAGAUCUACGGAUGAAAGCAGGGGAUCGCAAGACCUUGUGCUACUAGAGCGGCCGAUGGCAGAUUAGGUAGUUGGUGGGAUAAAAGCUUACCAAGCCGACGAUCUGUAGCUGGUCUGAGAGGACGAUCAGCCACACUGGGACUGAGACAUGGCCCAGACUCCUACGGGAGGCAGCAGUGGGGAAUUUUGGACAAUGGGCGAAAGCCUGAUCCAGCAAUGCCGCGUGCAGGAUGAAGGCCUUCGGGUUGUAAACUGCUUUUGUACGGAACGAAAAGCCCCGGGUUAAUACCCUGGGGUCAUGACGGUACCGUAAGAAUAAGCACCGGCUAACUACGUGCCAGCAGCCGCCGUAA
rnacentral:rRNA from 1 species